rnacentral:rRNA from 1 species
CCUACGGGUGGCUGCAGUGGGGGAUAUUGCACAAUGGGGGAAACCCUGAUGCAGCGACGCCGCGUGGGUGAAGAAGCGCCUCGGCGCGUAAAGCCCUGUCAGCAGGGAAGAAAAUGACGGUACCUGAAGAAGAAGCCCCGGCUAACUACGUGCCAGCAGCCGCGGUAAUACGUAGGGGGCAAGCGUUAUCCGGAUUUACUGGGUGUAAAGGGAGCGUAGGUGGCUAGGUAAGUCAGGUGUGAAAGCCCGGGGCUCAACCCCGGGAUUGCACUUGAAACUACUUAGCUAGAGUGCAGGAGAGGUAAGUGGAAUUCCUAGUGUAGCGGUGAAAUGCGUAGAUAUCAGGAGGAACACCGGUGGCGAAGGCGGCCUGCUGGACUGCAACUGACGUUGAGGCCCGAAAGCGUGGGGAGCAAACAGGAUUAGAUACCCGAGUAG